UACGUAGGGGGCAAGCGUUUGUCCGGAAUCAUUGGGCGUAAAGAGCGCGUAGGCGGUCCGGUAAGUCCGCUCUGAAAGUCCGGGGGCUCAACCCCGGGAGGCGGGCGGAUACUGUCGGGCUAGAGUCCGGAAGAGGCGAGUGGAAUUCCUGGUGUAGCGGUGAAAUGCGCAGAUAUCAGGAGGAACACCGGUGGCGAAGGCGGGUCUCUGGGCCGAUGAUUGACGCUGAGGAGCGAAAGCGUGGGGAGCGAACAGG
rnacentral:rRNA from 1 species